rnacentral:rRNA from 1 species
CCUACGGGUGACAGCAGUGAGGAAUAUUGGUCAAUGGCCGGAAGGCUGAACCAGCCAUGCCGCGUGAAGGUCAGUGCCCUAUGGGCGUUAAACUUCUUUUGUGCGGGAGCAAUAAUGGUCACGUGUGGCCAGACGAGAGUACCGUACGAAUAAGCAUCGGCUAACUCCGUGCCAGCAGCCGCGGUAAUACGGGGGAUGCAAGCGUUAUCCGGAUUUAUUGGGUUUAAAGGGUGCGUAGGCUGUGAGGUAAGUCAGCGGUGAAAUGCCCCCGCUCAACGGGGUGAAGUGCCAUUGAUACUGCCUGGCUGGAAGGCGGAUGCCGUGGGAGGAAUGUGUGGUGUAGCGGUGAAAUGCAUAGAUAUCACACAGAACACCGAUUGCGGAGGCAUCUCACGAAUCCGCGAUUGACGCUGAUGCACGAAAGCGUGGGUAUCAAACAGGAUUAGAUACCCCUGUAGUC